ACUCCCUCCGUCCCAAAAUAAGUGUCUCAACUUUAGUACAACUUUGAACUAAAGUUUAUACAAAGUUGAGACACUUAUUUUGGGACGGAGGGAGUACUUAAUUAGUUUUACGUCAGAAGGAACCUCUUGUUACAUUUUCUGUUGUCUUCUGCAAAAUACUGGAAUUAGUCGUCUGCUUUUAAAUCAUUAUCAUUACUAUCGCUUGGCUUUGCAAAUCAUUAGUAAGUCAACACAUGUGUUUCUCCUUUGGUCUUCCUAACACUAGUGAUAUGGAAGUGCUCCUACAUCCUCACUUUUUGGGGUCUGUCAUUUGACCACAAGUUCACAACUCCCUGUUGAUGCUUAUCAAAUUAGUAAUAUGGUGCAUAUUUAAUGUAUGGAUGGUGCUGGCGUAUCCUGUUCUUGUGUAUGUGUAUUGUCAAUGAAAUGAACCUGCAGAAGCUAAUUGCUUACUAAGUGAUAAAUUAGGGUAGCCUGAUUCAGGUAACUAUCUGGCAAAACAAACUACAAUAUACUUAGUUUGAAUAAGAGCCUAGGUUAAUUUAUGCGCUAACUGUAGUUUUGACAAGGAAAAUAAUAUCUGAUAUUACAAUUCGGUGAAUAGACUAAUAUGGACUAUUUAGUAGUUCUGUAACUUUUGUGAGACCAAGACAUCUUUAUUAGAUGCAGAUUGUGAAUGCUUUGCUUUUGUGAUAUAUUUCAUUGUUUCUGACCUUAAAGGCCUCUCUGAUCAAAAGGAAUUCUUAGGAUUUCAUUUCUGAGGAAUUUUUCCGGUAGUGCUUGUUUGAUUUGUAGAAUGAGAAAUUUUAGAAUUUUUAGUAUGAGCCACUUUGCAUUAAAUACCACAGAAAUUUUUACAUCAAGUCUAAGCUCUUGGAAGAACUCAUAUACCUGACGAGUUAUUGUGUUAACUCUAUGGUGUAAUACUGUAAAUAAACACACUUUGGUGUCACUUCCAUUGGUUUUAAUCCUGCAGGUUUCAGGAAGGCAUGCCAUUGGAAUCCAGCAUUUUUCAUAUAUAUGUGUUUUCAGAGUCCUGUGAAUCAAAGAGGCCCCAAGUUCACAACUCUUUGCGGCAUCUAGCGAGACACAUAGACGGAUCGGCGCCCUUCAUGCCAGAGCCGACUUUGGAGAUGGAGAAGGUUAUUACUGAGUCGGCUUGAGCCCAUGGAUCUGACGAGGGCGUUUCUUCACCUGCUGGUUGUUUCUUCUCCUCAAGACCCGGCUUCCGUCUUUGCGCGGCGGUCUGUUCGCGGUGGAAGGCUUCAUUGACUUCAAGCUGGGCUUGUCCUCUAGCCUUCAGAUUUUUGCUGCUUGUCUGAUUGUUGUUUGUUACUCCCCCUGUAAACAAAUAUAAGAGCGUUUAGAUCACUACUUUAGUGAUCUAAACGCUCUUAUUUUUCUUUACGGAAGGAGUACUAGCAGUUUGCACAACACUUCGUAUCUUUUGGCCGUCAUGUUUGCUUCUUCGUAAGUUGUUGGUCGUUGUAAACCUGGCUGGUUGAUGGCUUUGUUAAUUUAUAGCUGAGCUCAUCUCGAGCCUCUGUUCUAAAAAAAUGCUCGUAUUAUACA